rnacentral:tRNA from 1 species
AAGGAUAUAGCUUAGUGGUAGAGUACAUUCCUAAAAUACACAAGGUCCUGGGUUCAUUCCCCAGUAUCUUCA